AGCUACAGGCUUAACACAUGCAAGUCGAGGGGCAUCAGGAAGAAAGCUUGCUUUCUUUGCUGGCGACCGGCGCACGGGUGAGUAACACGUAUCCAACCUGCCCUUUACUCGGGGAUAGCCUUUCGGAAGAAAGAUUAAUACCCGAUAGUAUAAUGAUUCCGCAUGGUUUCAUUAUUAAAGGAUUCCGGUAAAGGAUGGGGAUGCGUUCCAUUAGGUUGUUGGUGAGGUAACGGCUCACCAAGCCUUCGAUGGAUAGGGGUUCUGAGAGGAAGGUCCCCCACAUUGGAACUGAGACACGGUCCAAACUCCUACGGGAGGCAGCAGUGAGGAAUAUUGGUCAAUGGGCGCUAGCCUGGACCAGCCAAGUAGCGUGAAGGAUGAAGGCUCUAUGGGUCGUAAACUUCUUUUAUAUAAGAAUAAAGUGCAGUAUGUAUACUGUUUUGUAUGUAUUAUAUGAAUAAGGAUCGGCUAACUCCGUGCCAGCAGCCGCGGUAAUACGGAGGAUCCGAGCGUUAUCCGGAUUUAUUGGGUUUAAAGGGAGCGUAGGUGGACUGGUAAGUCAGUUGUGAAAGUUUGCGGCUCAACCGUAAAAUUGCAGUUGAUACUGUCAGUCUUGAGUACAGUAGAGGUGGGCGGAAUUCGUGGUGUAGCGGUGAAAUGCUUAGAUAUCACGAAGAACUCCGAUUGCGAAGGCAGCUCACUGGACUGCAACUGACACUGAUGCUCGAAAGUGUGGGUAUCAAACAGGAUUAGAUACCCUGGUAGUCCACACAGUAAACGAUGAAUACUCGCUGUUUGCGAUAUACAGUAAGCGGCCAAGCGAAAGCAUUAAGUAUUCCACCUGGGGAGUACGCCGGCAACGGUGAAACUCAAAGGAAUUGACGGGGGCCCGCACAAGCGGAGGAACAUGUGGUUUAAUUCGAUGAUACGCGAGGAACCUUACCCGGGCUUAAAUUGCAGUGGAAUGAUGUGGAAACAUGUCAGUGAGCAAUCACCGCUGUGAAGGUGCUGCAUGGUUGUCGUCAGCUCGUGCCGUGAGGUGUCGGCUUAAGUGCCAUAACGAGCGCAACCCUUAUCUUUAGUUACUAACAGGUUAUGCUGAGGACUCUAGAGAGACUGCCGUCGUAAGAUGUGAGGAAGGUGGGGAUGACGUCAAAUCAGCACGGCCCUUACGUCCGGGGCUACACACGUGUUACAAUGGGGGGUACAGAAGGCAGCUAGCGGGUGACCGUAUGCUAAUCCCAAAAGCCUCUCUCAGUUCGGAUCGAAGUCUGCAACCCGACUUCGUGAAGCUGGAUUCGCUAGUAAUCGCGCAUCAGCCACGGCGCGGUGAAUACGUUCCCGGGCCUUGUACACACCGCCCGUCAAGCCAUGGGAGCCGGGGGUACCUGAAGUACGUAACCGCAAGGAUCGUCCUAGGGUAAAACUGGUGACUGGGGCUAAGUA
rnacentral:rRNA from 1 species